AAGAACAUUCAUGAGUAAAAAAGAGGUCCCUUAAUAUAAUUAAAUGCAGAAUAUCCCUCUAAACUAUUAAACUAUCAUUCAUCGAUCCUCUUAAGAAUCGCUAAUGAAUAACGAUCAAUCGGCCAUCAUCAUAUAUAGGAAUGGCAUUGAAUGCAACCAGCAUUUAGGCACGUUUGUUGACUCAUUAGUAUUUAAUCAGCAUUUACAAUAUCAUCGAAUACACUUUCGUCAAAGAACAC